rnacentral:rRNA from 1 species
ACGAAGGGUGCAAGCGUUACUCGGAAUUACUGGGCGUAAAGCGUGCGUAGGUGGUUUGUUAAGUCUGAUGUGAAAGCCCUGGGCUCAACCUGGGAACGGCAUUGGAUACUGGCUUACUAGAGUGCGGUAGAGGGUAGUGGAAUUCCCGGUGUAGCAGUGAAAUGCGUAGAUAUCGGGAGGAACAUCUGUGGCGAAGGCGACUACCUGGCCUGUUCUUGACGCUGAGGCGCGAAAGCUAGGGGAGCAAACGGGA